rnacentral:rRNA from 1 species
GACGAACGCUGGCGGCGUGCUUAACACAUGCAAGUCGAACGGAAAGGCCCUGCUUUUGUGGGGUGCUCGAGUGGCGAACGGGUGAGUAACACGUGAGUAACCUGCCCUUGACUUUGGGAUAACUUCAGGAAACUGGGGCUAAUACCGGAUAGGAGCUCCUGCUGCAUGGUGGGGGUUGGAAAGUUUCGGCGGUUGGGGAUGGACUCGCGGCUUAUCAGCUUGUUGGUGGGGUAGUGGCUUACCAAGGCUUUGACGGGUAGCCGGCCUGAGAGGGUGACCGGGCACAUUGGGACUGAGAUACGGCGCAGACACCUACAGGAGGCAGCAGUGGGGAAUAGUGCAAAAUGGGCGGAAGCCUGAUGCAGCAACGCCGCGUGCGGGAUGACGGCCUUCGGGUUGUAAACCGCUUUCGCCUGUGACGAAGCGUGAGUGACGGUAAUGGAUAAAGAAGCACCGGCUACCUACGUG